UACGGAGGGUGCAAGCGUUAUCCGGAUUCACUGGGUUUAAAGGGUGCGUAGGUGGGCAAGUAAGUCAGUGGUGAAAUCUCCGGGCUUAACACGGAAACUGCCAUUGAUACUAUUUGUCUUGAAUACUGUGGAGGUCAGCGGAAUAUGUCAUGUAGCGGUGAAAUGCUUAGAUAUGACAUAGAACACCAAUUGCGAAGGCAGCUGGCUACACAAAUAUUGACACUGAGGCACGAAAGCGUGGGGAUCAAACAGG
rnacentral:rRNA from 1 species